ACGGAAGGCAGCAGUGGGGGAUAUUGCACAAUGGGGGAAACCCUGAUGCAGCGACGCCGCGUGAGUGAAGAAGUAUUUCGGUAUGUAAAGCUCUAUCAGCAGGGAAGAAAAUGACGGUACCUGACUAAGAAGCACCGGCUAAAUACGUGCCAGCAGCCGCGGUAAUACGUAUGGUGCAAGCGUUAUCCGGAUUUACUGGGUGUAAAGGGAGCGUAGACGGACGGCUAAGUCUGAUGUGAAAGGUGAGGGCUCAACCCUUAAACUGCAUUGGAAACUGGUCAUCUGGAGUGUCGGAGAGGUAAGUGGAAUUCCUAGUGUAGCGGUGAAAUGCGUAGAUAUUAGGAGGAACACCAGUGGCGAAGGCGGCUUACUGGACGAUAACUGACGUUGAGGCUCGAAAGCGUGGGGAGCAAACAGGAUUAGAUACCCUGGUA
rnacentral:rRNA from 1 species